GCCCGCCUAGCUCAAUCGGAUAGAGCGUCAGACUCUUACUUGACUAGGACGAGGGCAUCUGAAGGCUGCGAGUUCGACCCUCGCGGUGGGCU